rnacentral:rRNA from 1 species
AUGAACGCUGGCGGCGUGCUUAACACAUGCAAGUCGAACGGUGAAGCAGGAGCUUGCUCCUGUGGAUCAGUGGCGAACGGGUGAGUAACACGUGAGUAACCUGCCCCAGACUCUGGGAUAAGCGUUGGAAACGACGUCUAAUACCGGAUACGAGACGAGAAGGCAUCUUCAUCGUCUGGAAAGAAUUUCGGUCUGGGAUGGACUCGCGGCCUAUCAGGUAGUUGGUGAGGUAACGGCCCACCAAGCCUACGACGGGUAGCCGGCCUGAGAGGGUGACCGGCCACACUGGGACUGAGACACGGCCCAGACUCCUACGGGAGGCAGCAGUGGGGAAUAUUGCACAAUGGGCGCAAGCCUGAUGCAGCAACGCCGCGUGAGGGACGACGGCCUUCGGGUUGUAAACCUCUUUUAGCAGGGAAGAAGCGAAAGUGACGGUACCUGCAGAAAAAGCACCGGCUAACUACGU